UGGAGAUCCUGCUCCGUCGCCCCAGUGUUCAGACUACCUGUUCAGGACAAUGCCGUUGUACAGUAGUCUGCACAUUGGUUAGACUGGGCAAGGGCCAGCA
rnacentral:pre_miRNA from 17 species